CUCUUGGUAUGUGGAAGAUCUUGAAGUUAUGGUAGCGUCCUUUUAUAGCUUCGAAUUCCGCAAGUUCCAUGGAGAAGGUUGGCCACGUGCUUGGGUCCUUUACCAUUGAAAUUACAUCCUUGUAGUCAGUUCCAAAGGAUUGGCAUGAAGUAUGUUGGGACAUGUUCUCCAUCGCCCAUAUGAGCGCAUCCAAUUCCGAGUGUAAUGGAG
rnacentral:lncRNA from 1 species